rnacentral:rRNA from 1 species
UACGUAGGCAGCAAGCGUUGCUCGGAGUUACUGGGCGUAAAGGGUGUGUAGGCGGUUGUUUAAGUUUGGUGUGAAAUCUCCCGGCUCAACCGGGAGGGUGCGCCGAAUACUGAAUAACUAGAGUGCGGGAGAGGAAAGUGGAAUUCCUGGUGUAGCGGUGAAGUGCGUAGAUAUCAGGAGGAACACCGGUGGUGUAGACGGCUUUCUGGACCGUAACUGACGCUGAGACACGAAAGCGUGGGUAGCAAACAGG